rnacentral:lncRNA from 1 species
CCUUUUUCAGUGGUAUCGACACUAGCUAUUCUGUAGGCUUUCCAUGGACCUCCUUGAGCUCUUCUUGGUGCUCAAACCUCUGGAUUGGGAGGGAACCCAUCGGCUUCUUCUCCUUUAUUGAGGCCAUGAAAUAUUAAUUGUUGGGCCAGUAUAUGAUCUCCUUGGAUUUCUCUGACCCCAUACUUCAUCGAAAAUUUUAUCAAAAGGUGGUAUGUAGAUAUUAUUGCCCAGAAUGCAUUAAGUUUGAAUUGGCCCAAGAUGGUGUUGCAGGUGGAUGGCAUCCGAACUAUCAAGAAUAUAAGUUGCACAAUUACUUGCCAAGGUUCUUAUCUCGCAGU